GCGGGCCGACGGACGAGGAGCAGAGGCGCUGGGCAGAACGGCUUCUUCAACCGCGCCGGCCGCUUCCCGCGGAGCAUCAGCCCACCCGGGCGCUUUCAGGGCCGCCGCGACGACGCGGCCCACGGCCCAGGCCUGGCGGCCCUUCGACCACCCUCGUGUCGCUCUCGUCCGUCUCCGACUGCAACUCCACGCGUUCACUGCUGCGCUCCGACAGCGACGAGGCCGCUCCGGCUGCGCCCUCCCCGCCCUCGCCCUCGCCUUCGCCUCUGCCCUCGCCCUCGGCCUCGCCCGGCACCAACCCCCUAGUGGACCUGGAGCUGGAGAGUUUCAAGAAGGACCCCCGCCAGUCACUCACGCCCACCCACGUCACAGCCGCGCGCCCUGUGAGCCGAGGACACCGGCGGACGCCGUCGGAUGGGGCGCUGGGGCAGCGGGGGCCACCGGAGCCCGCAGGCCACGGCCCUGGCCCUCGAGACCCCCUGGACAUCCCCCGCCUGCCCGACCCCCAGGCCCUGUUCCCUACCCGCCGCAGGCCCCCUGAGUUCCCUGGCCGCCCCACAACCCUGACCUUCGCCCCAAGACCCCGGCCGGCUGCCAGCCGUCCCCGCCUGGACCCCUGGAAACUGGUCUCCUUUGGCCGGACGUUCAGCAUAUCGCCUCCUAGCAGGCCAGAAACUCCGGAGAGCCCAGGGCCCCCCAGCGUGCAACCCACACUGCUGGACAUGGACAUGGAGGGACAGAGCCAGGACAAUACAGUGCCCUUGUGUGGGGUCCACGGCUCCCACUGAGGCCUGCCGCCCGCCUGGGCAGCCAUGAAUGUAGUGCCCCAGGCCCCGCCCCAGCCUGCCAUGCCCCAAGGCGCAGAGGCCCUGAGCAGGGUGCUCACUCUAUUUAUUGGGGAAGGAGGGAGGGAGGGGAUCUUAAGUUAUUCCUUUGUACCCUAGGGGUGGAGCCCUGUGCCCACCCUGCUGUGGAGGGGAGGGUGGGCAGGGAUACUCAGGGACAGGGCAUCAUGGGGGAUUUGGCACAAAACAGCAUUAAAGGUAACCCCUGCCCCCUAC
rnacentral:lncRNA from 1 species